CAGCCGCCGCGGGAAUACGUAGGUGGCAAGCGUUGUCCGGAAUUAUUGGGCGUAAAGCGCGCGCAGGUGGUUUAAUAAGUCUGAUGUGAGAGCCCACGGCUCAACCGUGGAGGGUCAUUGGAAACUGUUAAACUUGAGUGCAGGAGAGAAAAGUGGAAUUCCUAGUGUAGCGGUGAAAUGCGUAGAGAUUAGGAGGAACACCAGUGGCGAAGGCGGCUUUUUGGCCUGUAACUGACACUGAGGCGCGAAAGCGUGGGGAGCAAACAGGAUUAGAUACCCCUGUAGUCCCUGUCUCUUAUAC
rnacentral:rRNA from 1 species